rnacentral:piRNA from 1 species
UGGGAUAUCCAGCUGUGGGCCAUGGCAAC